AUGUCUCCUCGAGCUGCCCCGCCGCGGUUCGGGCGGCUGCAGCUGGCGCUGGCGGCGGCGGGGACGGCGGCGGCGACCCUGGACCUGUGCAUGGACGGGUGGGUGGCGGCCCAGUACGCGCGGCGCGGCCACCCCGGCUGGGCCGCGCUGUCGCUGUCGCUGCUGGCCGCCGCCUCCGCCGCCGCCCAGGCCUGCAGCUGGCUCUGGCUGCGCUCCGACCCGCCCGCCCUGCGCCCCGCCGUGCCCGUGGCGCUGCUGGCCGCCCUCCACUUCCUCCAGCUCGGCUUUUUCUUCAGGUGCCUCCAUGCUCUCAAGGUGGGCUGGAGGGUGUGCUGGGCCAAGGCCAAGGAGGAGGAUGAGCAGAGACACAUGGCCUUCCUCUCCCACGACAUCAGCAUGCUGCGGCUCUUCGAGACCUUCCUGGAGAACACCCCGCAGCUCACCCUGCUCCUCUACAUUAUCCUGCGGACAAACAAAGCUGAGCUCUCCCAGGGCCUGGGGAUGGGCACCGCGUUCCUGUGCGUGUCCUGGUCACUGCUGGACUACCACCAGUCCCUGCGCUCCUUCCUGCAGGACAAGUACGAGCUGAGCCGGGGCUCUUCCGUCAUCUACUUCCUGUGGAACCUCUUCCUCAUCUGCCCCCGCAUCCUGGUGGUCGCCCUCUUUGCCCUGCUCUGGCCCUACGGCGUGGCUGUCCACUUCCCGCUCGUGUGGCUGGCCAUGUUCCUCUGGGUCAGCCUGCAGGGCACGGACUUCAUGGAGUCACCGGGCGCCGAGCAGCUUUACCGGGCCGUGGUGGCUGUGAUCCUCUACUUCAGCUGGUUCAAUGUGGCCCAGGGGAGGACGCUGUACCGCAGCAUCAUCUACCACGGCUUCAUCCUGGUGGACAGCACGCUGCUGGCCCUUGCCUGGCUCUGGGGCCGGGCUCCCUCUGAGGAGCACUCAUACCUCCUCCCGGUGGUCGCCGCCGCCCUGCCCUGCUACCUGCUGGGGCUGGGGCUGAGGGUCGCCUACUACAAGUGGCUGCACCCCAACGUGCAGGUGCAGCAGGAAGGCAGAUGCGACGAGGUGGACGCCGGUGGGAGGAGCGACGGGGUGGAGUUUCACUCGUUUUUGGAACCAGACCUCGUGAACAGGAGGAUGCAGUGGCUGGCCCAGACCCACUUUGCCUUGUCUGAGCCGGAACGGCAGCAGUUCCUGAACGGGGCUGCUGCUGGGGAGUCUGCUGUCUGAGGGCAGCUGCUCUAAAGGGACAUGAGGGGGGAGGUGAAGCUGUUGGUUGUGCUCCUGGUUGUGUCCCCCAGGCUGUUGUUUUGGACAGCUGGAGGGACCUGGCAGGAACCAGGGAUGAUGUGGAAACACCAAAUGAGUCCCAUGGCACUCAGCAUGGCUCCCAUGGCCGUACCCUCAAGGAGAGCCACGGUGUUUGUGUUCACAGGACAGAUCCCAUUACACACCAUGAACAGGCAAAGGCCCCACAGCCAGCAGCACCUGGCACUCGCCCCUCAUAGCACAGCAAGAGGUGCUGUGGGCUCCAGGGGUCCUACUCCUUCCC